AUCUGAAUUAUUGUCUGAGGAUGGUAUCAAGGAAGACCCCCCCCACCCAGUCGGGAGUCCCAACCCAUAGGAGGAAGACUGACCUGGACCACCAGCUUGUUGGUGAUGCUUGCAAGGAGGCCAUAUCAUUCCUUGUCCACUCGGCCAAUGAAAAACAAAUCUAUCAGAAGAUGGAGGUUUCAGUAUCGCCUGGAGCUAGUUUAUUGUCCAGACAGAAGCACAGAUAUCCUCAGUCUUUCCCAGGUUUCUGGACAUCAAAGGAUUGGUGAAUCAGGACUUUUUGCUGAUGUUUGACAAUGAAACAACCUCUAAGUUCAUUGAAAAGUUGGACACUGUAUUGAAGCCUAAAGUCAUCAAAUUUUCAAAAUCCCCGGCUACGACCACUGAUUUCUGUCGCCUCCUGAAAACUGCCAGAGAAUGACAGCGAAACCAACUGGGACAAUGAUAUGUCCUCCCUGCUGCUUCUUCAUCUCCUCCCACCACCAGCMCGAGGGAAGAGCACCAAGAUCAGUGCCAGUGAUGCUGUGGGCAGACUAGUGCACUUU